CUUUGAUAACUGUUCACAUGGUAAAAAUAUAACAUUACAUUGAUUCUUAAAUUAAAAGAGUGCAUGAAACGACCAUACAAGUCUUUCAUAAAUAAAAACGUGCUACACCUACAAACAUCUUGGUGGUACUCUUUGGAAAGAAAGAUUGGCCGAAGGCAUAUGUAUUGGUUCUUUCUUGGUAGAAGCAGUAUUUACCUUUGGUCCGGAUAUCAUCGUGGGAUCAGAUAUAUUGUUGACGAUCCAUGUCGAUUAGAUCAAGCUGGAUUUUGAAUCACACCCGUAGUUUGUAUGUUUUACUAUGUUCUUCAAGGCUUUCCUAUUGUUAUGUUUUAAUCAUAUUUGUGACAACCAGUCUUCGGUCUGUGAAGUUGUUAUGUGUACAAAGCUUGCUGCUUUUUCUGUACCUGGUCUAAUAACUUGAUCUUAUUUAUGUGUGUUAGAUACUGUGCAUACAUAUUCCACUACAGGUCUUAUCAUGAAUAAAUAUGCAGCUGCUUUUACAUGUAUUAUGGAGCCUUUCGUAAAUUUUUAUGUUAUAUUUCCUCUGCAAAUUGUAUCUUUGAUGUCUUUUCCCUAAUUAGGUAGUUACUGAUGGUUUUUCCUAUGUAUAAGAUGGCAACAACUGUGUCUAAAGCAAUUUUGGCUAGCCAAUGUUUUUUAUCCUUAGUCGGGUUGUUCCCUUUUACACAUUCCCCAUAUCCAUUCUCAAUUUUAUCGAAUUCAUUUUAUGUAGAUAGGCAUUGUUGAAAAUUAAUUAGAAUGUUCAUGUACUAGUAGUCUUUUUUAUUACUAUCUUGUGUGUAAAAAAAUCUUCUUUGUCAAGCUAGAUUUUGACAUACAUUGCUGUUGUCCAUCUUUGCAUAAUAGGGCACUGAUUUUAUCUUGCCAAUGAAGAACGGUCCGC
rnacentral:lncRNA from 1 species